UGGCGUCGAGCGGCGGACGGGUGAGUAAUGCUUGGGAAUAUGCCUUAUGGUGGGGGACAACAGUUGGAAACGACUGCUAAUACCGCAUGAUGUCUACGGACCAAAGUGGGGGACCUUCGGGCCUCACGCCAUAAGAUUAGCCCAAGUGGGAUUAGCUAGUUGGUGAGGUAAUGGCUCACCAAGGCGACGAUCCCUAGCUGGUUUGAGAGGAUGAUCAGCCACACUGGGACUGAGACACGGCCCAGACUCCUACGGGAGGCAGCAGUGGGGAAUAUUGCACAAUGGGCGCAAGCCUGAUGCAGCCAUGCCGCGUGUGUGAAGAAGGCCUUCGGGUUGUAAAGCACUUUCAGUAAGGAGGAAAGGUUAAGUGUUAAUAGCACUUAGCUGUGACGUUACUUACAGAAGAAGCACCGGCUAACUCCGUGCCAGCAGCCGCGGUAAUACGGAGGGUGCGAGCGUUAAUCGGAAUUACUGGGCGUAAAGCGUACGCAGGCGGUUUGUUAAGCGAGAUGUGAAAGCCCCGGGCUCAACCUGGGAACUGCAUUUCGAACUGGCAAACUAGAGUGUGAUAGAGGGUGGUAGAAUUUCAGGUGUAGCGGUGAAAUGCGUAGAGAUCUGAAGGAAUACCGAUGGCGAAGGCAGCCACCUGGGUCAACACUGACGCUCAUGUACGAAAGCGU
rnacentral:rRNA from 1 species